rnacentral:snRNA from 9 species
AUACCUAGCUGGCGUCGGGAUACCGUGAUCAUGCAGGUGGUUCCCCCGGGAUGCGGCUGCUCUAUUGCACUGCGGAGUGGUUGACCCUUGCGAUUAUUUUUAUAUUUUAUAAGUUUCACUUCUACCGUGUGUGACUUGCACACACACUUUUUUUUUCAAUGUGAACAGCAUCCCUGUGCUUCGAUAAC